CAAAUUCCAGCCAGGGUGGGUGUGACUGCUCCAUCAAGACGACGGGACAUGGACAGCCUCGGUGAAACACUGGAGACUCCUGGGCAGGGAGGCAGGGGCUGCCCAUGGUCACAGGGGGAUGCUGCUCUGUUUGGUGCUUCUCCUCUUUCAGCCAGAAACACACAGUGAUGGGA